ACACGCCCCUUUGAGCUGCGUGCUACAGCGAGGCUAAGCUAGUGGGGGCAAAGUUUCAGUGCAUUCCGUUGAUGUAGACGGCGUGAAAACGGAAACAACAAGUAUGCCGGCUCACUGUGCUGCAUACAAUUACACACUGCGUCGUACGAUUGAGACAAGGAAACUUGGAAUGACUUUUCAUAGGUUUCCCAGAGACUAUGGGUUGAGGAGGAAUUGGAAGUUUGUCGGCUUAGACCUGGUGUCAUUCCAUCAGUGUUAAACUUCCCGGCUCAUCUUGGAAGAGUACGUGCCAGAAAGACCACGACCAAGCAGCCUUGAGAUCUUAGGCAGCGUCUCCCUCAGGUCCCUCUCUAUCUCCCCACACAUCCACCAACCACUGGAACACAUCUCCAAAGUUCUGCUGGGCCAGCUCAGCUUCCCCUCAGAAGAAGUGCUGCCACCUGCCAGAUGAAGGAGCCUUUUGAGAGGCAGCUGGCAUCGUGAUUGGACUGUACUUUGGUCUGUUCCAAUCCAGCUUCAGCUCCAGAGACGGCAGGCGGGACGAGUCAACGGAGGCCGGGUGGACGAAGGCAUGCAGCUGAGUACAAUCCAGAAAACAACAGAGGAGGAGUGCAGCAGCCCAGAGCCAGAACAACCAGAGUAGCAUCAUAUGUCUCUUAGAAAACAUCAUAGUAGAGCCUUUGGUAUGAAAAAAACGCCAUCAUAUACAUCGUAUAUUGUACAAAUAACAAGUGAAAGCAAAGAGACAUACAUUGUAGAAUUGUAGUAAUUGUGGGCUGACUGAUUUACUGAUUAUCAGUAUUUUAUUUUUUACUGAUUUACGGUAAUAAAUACAUUUAAAAAUGGCGCUACUUUGGCUCUGAACCUUUAUCUACCUGUGGUCGCUCUGUCUUCUGGAGUGAUUUGAUUGGUUAUACGUAACGAAUAAAACUCUUUUAACUUAACAUCUGUAAACAAAACAAAAACGUAUCAACAAAGUUUUCUGUUAGUUUGUGUUCUUCUAAGUUUAACUCCGAGAUUUUAAAUACUUUCAUUUACUGCAAAUGAAUAUCUACUCCAAAUGUCUCACUAAUAAUCAUUAGCAGCCUUAAAAACCCACAAAACACCCCUCUAUACUCGACACUUAGUACAGUCCGGUUCCCCCUUCUAUAAAUCUGCUUGGAAUCUUCCACUUCCUGUUUGUCAAAGUGGCCUUCUACCUGGACAGGUUUUGUUGGAGCUCAUGCAACAAACAUUUUGGGUAACUGCACUUUAAUAUGGAUGGAUGACACUGAAUUAGAGUCUGUUUUAAUGACACUGAGUUAAGAUGUGUAGCUCUGUCAUUAAAUAGGAAAUUAUUUCUCAGAAUUCACAGAGAAAAGUCUGAAAUGUUUGCUAGGUUAGCGUCCCACAUGUUCUUUGGCUCAGCUAAAGCUAACUCUCUCCAACUUCUGGAUCUCUUGAGUUGCUUGUUGUUAAAAUAUCUUGCUAGAGGUGCUGAAGCUCAGAAAGUCUGAGAUGUUUGUUCAAAAUAAGCUCAUUCUCGAGUCUUAUCUGAACUCUUUUGUUUGAACUUUCCCUAAACUUAGGAGUUAAUGACAGAGCAGCACAUUCAGACUCAGUCUCAUUUAUGUAGAGAUUAAACUUCAGUGUCAUUCAUUGAUGUUAAAUUGCAGUUUUUCAAAUGUUUGUUGCACAUGCUCCCGACCAAACCAGUCCAGGUGGAAGACGAUGUGAAGAGAAAGCUCCAGAGGAUGAAUAUCACACAUUUACGUUGGAAAUAAAUGUCCUUUAAUUAGACAUUGUCAUGCAAAAGUU